CUGGCUGUUUCAUGUCUCUGGUUGAUUG
rnacentral:piRNA from 1 species